UGCGAUAAGCGCCGGUAAGGUGAUAUGAACCGUUAUAACCGGCGAUACCCGAAUGGGGAAACCCAGUGUGAUUCGUCACACUAUCAUUAACUGAAUCCAUAGGUUAAUGAGGCGAACCGGGGGAACUGAAACAUCUAAGUACCCCGAGGAAAAGAAAUCAACCGAGAUUCCCCCAGUAGCGGCGAGCGAACGGGGAGGAGCCCAGAGCCUGAAUCAGCAUGUGUGUUAGUGGAAGCGUCUGGAAAGGCGCGCGAUACAGGGUGACAGCCCCGUACACAAAAGCGCAUGUGCUGUGAGCUCGAUGAGUAGGGCGGGACACGUGGUAUCCUGUCUGAAUAUGGGGGGACCAUCCUCCAAGGCUAAAUACUCCUGACUGACCGAUAGUGAACCAGUACCGUGAGGGAAAGGCGAAAAGAACCCCGGCGAGGGGAGUGAAAAAGAACCUGAAACCGUGUACGUACAAGCAGUGGGAGCACAGGUUUACCUGUGUGACUGCGUACCUUUUGUAUAAUGGGUCAGCGACUUAUAUUCUGUAGCAAGGUUAACCGAAUAGGGGAGCCGGAGGGAAACCGAGUCUUAAUUGGGCGUUAAGUUGCAGGGUAUAGACCCGAAACCCGGUGAUCUAGCCAUGGGCAGGUUGAAGGUUGGGUAACACUAACUGGAGGACCGAACCGACUAAUGUUGAAAAAUUAGCGGAUGACCUGUGGCUGGGGGUGAAAGGCCAAUCAAACCGGGAGAUAGCUGGUUCUCCCCGAAAGCUAUUUAGGUAGCGCCUCGUGAAUUCAUCUCCGGGGGUAGAGCACUGUUUCGGCUAGGGGGCCAUCCCGGCUUACCAACCCGAUGCAAACUGCGAAUACCGGAGAAUGUUAUCACGGGAGACACACGGCGGGUGCUAACGUCCGUCGUGAAGAGGGAAACAACCCAGACCGCCAGCUAAGGUCCCAAAGUCAUGGUUAAGUGGGAAACGAUGUGGGAAGGCCCAGACAGCCAGGAUGUUGGCUUAGAAGCAGCCAUCAUUUAAAGAAAGCGUAAUAGCUCACUGGUCGAGUCGGCCUGCGCGGAAGAUGUAACGGGGCUAAACCAU
rnacentral:rRNA from 1 species